UUGUGCAUUGAAUAAGAGCUUAGAGACUUUAAUGUGUUAUUUUGACAUUCCAAUCCUGUGCAUGAUUAGAGUGAGUAGACAAUACCAUAGAGAGCCUCAAGGCAACCAAUUGUCAUAAAAAUCUCAUCACUGUACCAGUAAAAAUGAAUGAUUGACAUGACUCUCAAUAAAAGUUGACAUCCAUAGCCGCCAACCUAGACCUAUCAUACCGGAUGCCCUAAUAGAAGCCAUCUCCGGUUGCCAAGAAAUCAGGUCUGUCCACCAGACGCAACUGCAGUUGUGUAAGUACUUCAACUGCUUAAUUCGCCACUAAGCAGUAAAAUUUAGUAUAUAUAUAGACUUGAGAGAGAGUGUGUGUUAUUAUUUCUAAGAAUUGCAGAUCAAGAUCAAAUGGCAGCAGAUCAUUUACAAUUUCUCAAGGACAGAUUCAUCCGUGAAUUCCAAGAAGCAGAGGACGAAUUCCGUGGUGAAUUUCCCCUCCUUCCUAAGUUCCAUGAUAUCCAGAAGUUUUUGCAAGAGAGGACUAUCAAGCCCUCGACGCCUAUUGUAAUGAAGAAUGGGCUGUAUGACCUGAUACACGAGUUGAAGGAGUGCAUCAUGUUAGCUGAGAAGGAGAGGGACAGCCAGAAGGAGAGGACCCAAAGAAUCCAGAACAUGAAAAGUAGUUUUCAUGUCCAUACAUACGAGAUUCAGACAAGGAUUAUGAUGACGAUGACGAAUGUGAAGAAGUGUUGGUUUAUUUAUACAACCGGAAAGAAACUGCUUCGAAUCCAACGUAACUUAGAAUUGGUGAAAGAUGAUGUUGCUGCUGCUGAAAUCUCUUUGCUAUCAGACUCUAUCAAAGUGUGGAAUCCUUCAUGGUUACGACGACAAGCUGCAGGCGAGAUUCAUGGGUUCGAUGACGAGUUGAGGAAGAUCAAAGCAUUGCUCCUCGAACAGGCUGACAAUGAUGGUAUUAAGACAAUUGGAAUUGUGGGAAUGAGUGGUGUUGGUAAAACCACUCUCGCCCGAAUGGUUGUCAAUGACCAAUACUGUUGUAGAUUGUUCUCACCCAUAAUUUGGGUCACACACUCUCAAAAUUUGAGUCCGUCAGAAUUUAUGAGGCAAUUGUUGGAAACUUUUUCUGCCAACGGCAAUGAUGCACAAAUUAUCAAUAUAAUUCCUGAUUCUCUCCCAGAGCAGCUCAUAGAAUUGCAGAAUAGGCUAUGCGGUAAAAAGUAUUUGAUUGUGCUAGACAACGUAUGGCACCAGAAUGAUUGGUAUUCUGAUCUGGGUUCUAGUCUGCGCACGGAUAUGAACCGUCUAUGCCACGGUUUGCCAAAGGGAGGUGGAGGGGUCGUAAUUGUCACUAGUGGACUCGAAGAAGUAGCAACAAGCAUGGUGGGUGAGAAUAACUUAUUCAGACUCCAGCCACUAUUCAAUCAAGAGGCACUGAUCUGGUCAAUGUUCAUGGAUUCAAUUCGACGAAAGGAAUUUUUAACUGAUGAUCAUUAUCAAAGGUUGGAAAGAAUGAAGGAUGAGAUUAUUCACAGGUGUGAUGGCCUGCCUUUAGCAGCAAAGACACUGGCAGAGAUUAUUUCGAUUCAAAUUGGCAAGAAAGAGUACUGGUCAAGUGUAGAUGUACUCAAGAAGUUUUGCUUAAGACUUGAUCACCUUGAUAAUAUUUUUCAUGAAGAAACCUUUACGAUAGUCAGGACUCUUCCAGGAGUUGAGGAUGUUAGUGCUGGUUCUGGUGCUGAUGAAAUAACAGUAACUGGACGGUGCCUUCCUGUAGACAUAGCAAGGGAGCUCGGAAAAUUGUGGCACACAGAGCUCAUCUCCGUAGAACAAAUUGAUUCAUUUUCAAAGAAGGAGAUCCGGCUUGUAUCAGGGGUCGGCAAUGAACUUGACAAACUCAAAGACACAGUUUCCACAAUUAGAGCCGUGCUUCUUGAUGCAGAGGAGCACAAAGCCACAAAUCAUGAGGUUGAAGACUGGCUCGAAAAGGCCAACGAUGCAUUUUAUGAUGCCGAUGACUUGCUCGACGACUUCUCCACUGAACUUCUCCGUCGCCAGGUUACGACUCAGAACAAAAGGCUAGAGAAGGUACGCAAUUUCUUGUCAUGCUCAAACCAGCUUGCAUACAGUAGUAAGAUGGCUCGUGAUAUUAAGGCCGUCAGGGAGAGACUAGAUGAGAUUGCAGAAGAUAGGAGAAAUUUUCACCUCACUGAACGGACUAUAGAGAAUACUAUAGUUCAGAGGGAGGAGACUGGCUCUUUUGUUCAGGCAGAAUCUGUUAUUGGGAGGGAUGGUGAUAAAAUGAAAGUUAUCCAACUUUUAUUGGACAGUAAUGUUCAUGAGAACAGUAAUGUUCAAGAUAAUGUGUCAGUUGUUGCAGUGGUUGGGAUGGGGGGGCUAGGAAAGACCACACUUGCACAACUAGUAUAUAAGGAUGAGAGGGUCACUAAACAUUUUGAGCUUAAGAUGUGGGUGUGUGUGUCUGAUGACUUUGAUGUGAAACUCAUUGUAGAAAAGAUCAUAGAGUCUGCAAGAUCCAAAAAGCUUGAAAAAGACCUUUCCAUGGAUAACUUGCAAGAAACCCUUAGGAAAGAAAUUGACAGAAAGAAAUUUUUGCUUGUGUUGGACGAUGUGUGGAAUCAGUACCGUGAAAGAUGGUUAAAACUAAGAGAUUUGUUGCAAGGUGGUUCAAAGGGAAGUAAGAUAUUAGUAACAACUCGUAGUGAAUUAGUUGCAAAUAUUACAAGUGCAGAUUCACCAUAUGUCUUAGAAGGCUUGUCUAAGGAAGAGUCGUGGUCUUUAUUUAAGCAAAUGGCAUUCAAACACGUGGAGGAGUCGGAGAAUCCAUUUCGAGUAACAAUAGGGAAGGAACUUGUACAGAAGUGUAAGGGGGUUCCUCUUGCCAUAAGAGCUAUAGGAAGCCUUCUAUACUAUAAAAAUACAGAGGCUGAAUGGAUGCUUUUCAAAAAUAAUGAUUUGUUGAAAAUAGCUCAAGCAGAGGAUGUUAUUUUGCCAAUACUAAAGCUAAGUUACAAUUACCUCCCUCCGGAUUUGAAAGGAUGCUUUGCAUUUUGUUCUUUAUAUUUGAAAGAUGAAGAAAUUUGUAAGGAAGAAUUAAUCCAAAUGUGGAUUGCAGAGGGAUUGGUUCAAUCAGUGUAUGAGAAUCAACAAUUGGAAGAUGCAGGUGAUUUGUAUUUUAUGAAUUUACUAAGGAGGUCAUUUUUUCAAGACGUCCAAAGAGAUAAAUGGGGUGAGAUAAAAAGUUGCAAAAUGCAUGAUCUUGUGCAUGACCUUGCUACAGACUGUGCAAGGCAUGAGUACUCCACUUUGAAUUCAGGUGCAGAAAGUAUUACCGAAAGAACCCGUCAUGUGUCAGUUGGUUUUCGUGUAGAUUCAGAAUGGGAAAUUCCAACACGGUUGGUCAAAGCUAAAAAGUUGAGAACAUUUAUUUUGAAGGAUCAAGAUUUAGAACAAACAGCUUUGAAAAGAAUUGUUUCAACUUAUAAAUGUUUACGUGUGCUGAAUCUGAAGGAUGGGCGAGGUUCCAGAAACAAGCUGAACACAGUGCCAAAUUGUAUAGCCGAGUUGAAACAUUUAAGGUAUCUUGAUCUUAGUGGCAGUAAUAUCAAGAUUCUUCCAAAUUCCAUAACCAAGUUGCAAAAUUUGCAGACUCUAAAACUCAAUGAAUGUACAGAUCUUGUAGAAUUGCCCAGAGAGAUUAAAAAAUUGGUGAACCUUAGGCAUCUUGAGCUUGACGGGUGCUUGGAAUUGACUGGCAUGCCAUGUGGAUUGGGUAAGUUGACGUCUCUUUUGACAUUAACAAGAUUUGAAGUGGACUCAUUCAGCGGGUUGAGUGAAUUACAAAGCCUAAACAAUUUAAGGGGAAAGUUAUGUAUCCGUAUACGUCGACGCGAGGACUCAAGUAGUAGCGGGUAUGUGAAAAAGGUAACAGCAGCAGCAGGGGGAAGAAUGCAGGGAACAAACUACUUGGAGGCCAAACAAUACCUGAAGAGGCUGGAAUUAGAAUUUGAUAGGGAUGAAGAAAAUGAGGCAUUGUUGGAAUCCCUACGUCCACACCGGAAUCUGAAGGAGCUGACAAUUGAGUACUAUGGGGGAGUGAGUUUCCCAAGUUGGAUGAUGGUUGAUAAAAUUGGCUUAUUCUCUUCAUUUCUCCCAAAUCUAGUCAGAAUUGAUAUGUUCGGGUGUGAGAGAUGCAAACAUCUUCCACUAUUUGGGCAACUUCCUUCUCUCCAAUUUCUGAGUCUUCGGCAUAUGUUUUCCUUGGAGUACAUGGAGGACAGGAGUAGUAGUGGGAGUGGUAGUGAGGAUUCUCUGUGCUCUUCAUCUUCAUCCAGUGGAGGAGCAGCACCAACACCAACAUUCUUCCCAUCCCUCAAAACACUUGAACUCUAUACAUUGCCUAAAUUGAAGGGAUGGUGGAGGAGCCAAGCAGAAGAAGAAGCAACAACAACUUUACAGGACCAACAACAACAACAUUUGAACAAGCUCCCAUCAUUUCCUUCUCUUUCCCAAUUAUCCAUCUUAGUUUGCCCUAAUCUGGCAUCAAUGCCUAUUCUGCAACCAUGUGUUGAACAACUAAAACUCUGGAACGUCAGCAAGAAGGUAGUAGAAGAAGAGUUAAAGAUGACAUUGGUGUCCCCAACCCCACCAACAGAUACACUCGCAACCUCUUCUUCAUCUUCUUCUUUGCUUUUUCCUCCUCUUUCCAAUUUAAAGUCUCUGGAUUUAUUUGUUAUUGACGAUCUAGUUACUCUCCCAGAGGAGUCGUUUCUAAGCCUCACUUCUCUCCAGAAUCUUGAAAUUCGUUCUUGUCGAAGACUAACCUCUCUGUCCGGUGUGCUGCGGCCUCUCACCGCCCUCCUUUCUUUGAGUAUUUGGGAUUGCGACGAGCUUGAUCUGUCAGAUGAUGACAACGGCAUGCAAUAUCUUAGGAACCUAACGGAUCUGUCUAUCCAAAGUAUUCCAAAGUUGGUAUCUCUUCCCGUGGGGCUUCAACAUCUUACCACGCUUCGAACUCUACGGAUUCACAACUGUCACAAUUUGAUGCCUUUACCGGAGUGGUUAGAUGGGCUCACUUCGUUACACGUUGUGCGGACGUGAUAAAUGAUAAAUGCCAGAGAGGAACAGGGGAAGAUUGGCCAAAGAUUGCUCACAUCCCAAAUGUUCAUAUUUCAGUGAAUUGGUGACAUACGAGGAAGAAAAGGGGCCAAGAUUCUGUUUAAUGGAGGUGAGUUGGUGACAUACAAGGAAAUGUCAAAGGUUCAAUUUGUACCAGUAAACAUCAAACUUGAUUGAUGCAAAUCAAAAUGCAGGUAUUUGUAAUUUUUGCCAGAAAUCACAUAUGAGUCAAGAAUGGGAAUGCUGUUUUGUGGAGCUCGAAUCUUCGAAGGAACAAUGGUGGGAGAAGAGCUGAGGGGUGGUGAAAGUCCUCCAUGUGGUCUGUGAUAGAGAAGCAUGUACUUGAGCUUACACGAGAUGCGAAACUUUUGAGAGAGGGCUCGGCAAAUCAACCAUCAAAAAUUACUGGAAGACCAGUAUGGUAGACAAUCUGGAAGUUUAUUUGGUGUAAAUAUUUCUCACUAUUGUUUAUUGGGGAACAAAAUUCUAAGAUAGAAAAUAGAUAGAAGUGAAACGUUUUUACAACUAUUCUGUAACCGUCUAUCGAACUUUGUCAUCAUGUUAUUAUAGGCUCAUAAUGCAAUGACCUCCCCAUUCAAGGUGCAAUCAUUAUAUUUCUUGAUUUUUGGUAGUA